GUUACAACAUUUCUGCUGUUUCAUUUAGGUUGUACCUUGCAGCUAUGCAUUUCAAUGAGAAUGCUCAGCGCCCACAACGGAAGACAGCCAAGGGGAAACUAAUGUACAGGCUUGUGUUUCCAAAGGCCAAAAGGGGAGGUUACACGGUCAAAAAAGUGAAGACAGAGCCAACGAUUUAUUCCUGUGCCCCAAGACUUGUGUGCUCAGCUUCCCAGACCUUCCAGGGAGGAUGCUGUCGCUGAGCAUGUGUCACGGUUCAGUCGAGGGGGGUCUGAACCCGACAUACUGCCCUGAUGUUUCCGGAAACUCCCUCCGUAUGCGCAGCACCACACAAGAGGGGAUCACAACACGGACACUUCACCCAAGGAAACCCCAGCACCAGCUCACGAAAGAUCUGUAGGCCAAGUGUCUGCAUUGCCUUCAGAGAAAUCAGAGUGGAAAGGCACACUUUUUUACUAUUUAUUUUUUGAAUAUUUUAUAUUUUUGAGUAUAGCACUGUAUGAUUGUGUUGAAACAAAAUAAAGUUUGUCAUUUUA